rnacentral:ncRNA from 1 species
CAACCUCAACUCAUAUGGGACUACCCCCUGAAUUUAAGCAUAUUAAUUAGGGGAGGAAAAGAAACUAACAAGGAUUUUCUUAGUAGCGGCGAGCUACUAAGUCACUACUAAGUACACUAAGUCACUUUGUAGAUAUGGCAAAUGUGAGAUGCAGUGUACGGAACAUCAACAUUCUUGUAUGAGAAGUUAUCGAUUUAAGUCCUUCUUAAAUGAGGCCAUUUACCCAUAGAGGGUCCCAGGCCCGUAUAACGUUAAUGAUUACUAGAUGGUGUUUCCAAAGAGUCGUGUUGCUUAAUAGUGCAGCACUAAGUGGGUGGUAAACUCCAUCUAAAACUAAAUAUAACCAUGAGACCGAUAGUAAACAAGUACCGUGAGGGAAAGUUGAAAAGAACUCUGAAUAGAGAGUUAAAUAGUACGUGAAACUGCUUAGAGGUUAAGCCCAAUGAACCUGAAUAUCCGUUAGGGAAAAUUCAUCAUUAGAAUUGUAAUAUUUUAAACAAUAUUAUAGUAAUAGUGUGCAUUUUUUCCAUAUAAGGACAUUGUAAUCUAUUAACAUAAAUAUUUAUCAUAAAAUUAUGUCUGAUUGCUUAUUUGAAUUAUAUGCUUGGCAUUUUAACAUAAAAUAAAAGAUAUAAAUUUGAUAAAGUGCUGAUAGAUUUAUAUGAUUACAGUGCGUUAAUUUUUCGGAAUUAUAUAAUGGCAUAAUUAUCAUUGAUAUUUGUGUUUAUUAUAUGCAUUUGUAUGAUUAACAAUGCGAAAGAUUCAGGAUACCUUCGGGACCCG